CCGUCCUGCCGCGAGGCGCGGCCCUUCCCGCCCGGCACCGCCGCCCCCCGCGCGAGCCCUCCCCGCGUGGCUGAAGGAAAGCUGCCUCCUUGUUUUUUUUUCGUCUUUUCUUCCGCUCUUUUGGAAAGGAUCGGAGGGAAAACACCGCUGGUGUUGCAGGGGGUGGCACGCUGGCUGGUCGCUUCCGAAGCGGGGCUGAUGUUACUUGGUGCCGCUGGUUGCAUGGAGCCGCUUUUGCCCACUACCACUGGAUAGGAAGACAGGUGAUCAAGUGAUAUCUACAGUAACUGUAGCAGGUUUCACCACAAGGAUUCUGUUGCGCUUGAAACCUUAUCCUUUCUGGGUGAUGUCAAGGCUCCGCAGAGCAUACUCAGAAGAACAUCGUAAAGCUUUGGUGAAGAAAGAUAAAGAUGAAUUCUGCACCUGGAAGAUUGCCUGAGGAAAACUGGCCCAAGCAGUUGAAUUUUAGCGAAGGGGUGAUGUUGCCUGUUCCUUCUUUUGGAAGUAGACUCUCUUUUUCUCCUGGAGCCUGAGAAGAAGUUCCCUGUUCUUCAUAGAAUCAUAGAAUGGCCUGGAUUGAAAAGGACCAUAAUGAUCAUCGAGUUUCAUCCCGGUCUUCUUCUCCGCUGCCUCAUCUUCUGGCACAGGGGGACAGCCUGCUUCUGCACCUUUAAGACUUACUUCUUGAGUGUCCAGCCUUUCUGUAUCCCUUUGCCCUUCAGGAGUGAACCUCAAGAGACCCUCCCUACCAGUGUUGUGAGUAGUUCAAAGUCUGCCCUUCGGAAGUCCAAUGUGGCAGUUUUGCUGGCCCUGCUCCUAACUUCACCAAGCAUAGAGAACUCUACCAUUUUGUGGCCGCCCUUCCCAAGACUGCUCCUGGCCUCUAC
rnacentral:lncRNA from 1 species